rnacentral:rRNA from 1 species
AUUGAACGCUGGCGGCAUACCUUACACAUGCAAGUCGAACGGCAGCACGGGUGCUUGCACCUGGUGGCGAGUGGCGAACGGGUGAGUAAUACAUCGGAACAUGUCCUGUAGUGGGGGAUAGCCCGGCGAAAGCCGGAUUAAUACCGCAUACGAUCUACGGAUGAAAGCGUGGGACCUUCGGGCCUCGCGCUAUAGGGUUGGCCGAUGGCUGAUUAGCUAGUUGGUGGGGUAAAGGCCUACCAAGGCGACGAUCAGUAGCUGGUCUGAGAGGACGACCAGCCACACUGGGACUGAGACACGGCCCAGACUCCUACGGGAGGCAGCAGUGGGGAAUUUUGGACAAUGGGCGAAAGCCUGAUCCAGCAAUGCCGCGUGUGUGAAGAAGGCCUUCGGGUUGUAAAGCACUUUUGUCCGGAAAGAAAGCCUUGGCCCUAAUACGGUCGGGGGAUGACGGUACCGGAAGAAUAAGCACCGGCUAACUACGUG